CGGAAAUAAAUAUUACCACCUAACUUAAGUGUUGUUCACCGUCCAGCAGUCGAAUUAUUAUUCACCGUUUUAUUGUCCUAAAAAUUAAAACCAAUCAAAGUAAAUUUGCCAUAAUUGGAUUUUUAAAUGAACAAUUUAUUGAAGUGGUAUCAUGUAAGUGGAUUAAAGUUGAUCAUAAUAUAUAUUAAAGCGUUUUAUUUGUUGUUGGCCUGGAAGCAAAAAUGUAUCUAAGUUUGCUUUAUCACAAAAAAAUCCAGUCAAUUCGUGGGAAGAACACGACUGUCUUCCACGUAAAUUUUUCGGUUGGUAAAAGUAUACAAUUAUUGUAAUGUUUAAUUUGUUUAAAUUUGAAUUUUAUUUUUCUAUUGACAGAAAAAAUUAUUACAUUUCUGUUACGCCAGCUCAAUAAAAAUAGAAGAGACAGAAAACCGUAGAAAACAUAUAAAGAGAAAACAUUUUAACUCAUCUAGCAGUGUUGAAGGUCUUAAUAAUUAAUCUAAAAAAGAAAAAUUGAAUACCCAUUUAUGUAAUUUUUUAAAUUUUUUUUUAAAUAUUACCUAUAGUUAAAUUAAUACUUUAUUGGUUUUUUAUUUUUUCGGGUAAACAAAGAACACAAAACAAAAAAGUAUUCCUAACAAUUGAUUCAAAUUACAGUGAUGAAAGUGACUCAAUAUUUAACAACAAAUUAAAAAGUUAAAAUAAAAAAUGUUGUAGAUACAGUUCCAGAACCAACAAAUUCAUUUAAUUUAUUCAAUUGUGAUGAAUCUGCUAAUGACUUGGAGUUUUUGCCUUUCCAAAUGUGGUAAAAUUAGUAAAAGAUAGUCAGCCAUUAACUAUCCGUGGUAAUAAUCUAUAUUAUCAUCAUUAAUCAAUUAAAUUGUUAAAUUUGUUCAACAAUUGCAUUUUUAAUUACUUACUUUUUACAAAUGAUCAUGUACCAGACAUUACUCAAAUGUUGAUAAAUAUUGGUCAUGUCUUAAAAAAUGUUGCAGGACAGAUAAAUGUAUUAAAAAAGGACAAUGAAACAUUGAAAGUAGACCUUGCCAAAAACCAAGAAUAUCUUGUUGAUUUAAUCAGAAUGGUGAAUAACAAAGAAUUUAAU